GAUCUCAAAUCAAGUAAGACUACCCGCUGAACUUAAGCAUAUCAAUAAGCGGAGGAAAAGAAACUAACAAGGAUUCCCCUAGUAACGGCGAGUGAAGCGGGAUGAGCUCAAAUUUAAAAUCUGGCUGGCUUACUAGUCCGAAUUGUAGUUUAAAGAAGCGUUUUCGGUGGCAGUCUCGGUAUAAAUCCUUUGGAAUAGGGUAUCAUAGAGGGUGAGAAUCCCGUCUUUGACUGAGAAUUUGCUACUAUGUGAUACGUUUUCAAAGAGUCGAGUUGUUUGGGAAUGCAGCUCAAAAUGGGUGGUAAAUUUCAUCUAAAGCUAAAUAUUGGCGAGAGACCGAUAGCGAACAAGUACCGUGAGGGAAAGAUGAAAAGAACUUUGAAAAGAGAGUUAAACAGUGCGUGAAAUUGUUGAAAGGGAAACGCUUGAAACCAG
rnacentral:rRNA from 1 species